rnacentral:rRNA from 1 species
CCUACGGGAGGCAGCAGUGAGGAAUAUUGGUCAAUGGGCGCGAGCCUGAACCAGCCAAGUAGCGUGAAGGAUGACUGCCCUACGGGUUGUAAGCUUCUUUUAUAAAGGAAUAAAGUGAGGCACGUGUGCCUUUUUGUAUGUCCUUUAUGAAUAAGGAUCGGCUAACUCGGUGCCAGCAGCCGCGGUAAUACGGAGGAUCCGAGCGUUAUCCGGAUUUAUUGGGUUUAAAGGGAGCGUAGAUGGGUUGUUAAGUCAGUUGUGAAAGUUUGCGGCUCAACCGUAAAAUUGCAAUUGAUACUGGCAGUCUUGAGUACAGUUGAGGUAGGCGGAAUUCGUGGUGUAGCGGUGAAAUGCUUAGAUAUCACGAAGAACUCCGAUUGCGAAGGCAGCUUACUAAACAGCCACUGACAUUGAUGCUCGAAAGUGUGGGGAGCAAACAGGAUUAGAUACCCGAGUAGUC